UACUUUAUCCAGGUACAUAGCCCCCGCCAUCUUCCUAUUGUACAUUUCCAGUGACCUGUCCUCCUUUUGUCUCCAGAGGGGUCUGGUUGCUGCUUACAGUGGUGACAGUGACAAUGAGGAGGAGCUGGUGGAGAGACUUGAGAGUGAGGAAGAGAAGCUAGCUGACUGGAAGAAGAUGGCCUGUCUGCUCUGCCGGCGCCAGUUCCCGAACAAAGAUGCCCUAGUCAGGCACCAGCAACUCUCAGACCUUCACAAGCAAAACAUGGACAUCUACCGACGAUCCAGGCUGAGCGAGCAGGAGCUGGAAGCCUUGGAGCUAAGGGAGAGAGAGAUGAAAUACCGAGACCGAGCUGCAGAAAGACGGGAGAAGUAUGGCAUUCCAGAACCUCCAGAGCCCAAGCGCAAGAAGCAGUUUGAUGCCGGCACUGUGUAUGUGAUGUGCACAUUUUCCAGUUCGUAAGCUGGGGCCCUGGCUGUUUUAAGUAACUGUGUGUUUGCCACUGGCAGGAAUUACGAGCAACCCACCAAAGAUGGCAUUGACCACAGUAACAUUGGCAACAAGAUGCUGCAGGCCAUGGGCUGGCGGGAAGGCUCUGGCUUGGGACGAAAGUGUCAAGGCAUUACGGCUCCCAUUGAGGCUCAAGUUCGGCUAAAGGGAGCUGGCCUAGGAGCCAAAGGCAGCGCAUAUGGUUUGUCGGGCGCCGAUUCCUACAAAGAUGCUGUCCGGAAAGCCAUGUUUGCCCGGUUCACUGAGAUGGAGUGAGAGAGAGAGAGAGAGAGAUGACAAGGAGCACAAGAAGUGGUCCAUCUCCCGAAUUCGCUGUUACCGCCUGUCUCUUUAAGGGCAUGCCUUGUGCUGUUAAUAGAUCUUAGGG
rnacentral:sRNA from 1 species